UGUUAUUCGGAUUGCAAAGAACUCAUUCUUCUUCUCAAUUCCAAUGGCCAAGCAAAUGAAAUCGCCGAUAUCAAGACCGAUAUUAGAUUUCAUAAGACCAAGUUUCUCACAUUUUCCUUUCAUCUUGUACUGAAGACUAUUGUUGUUUCAUGUAACAUCUCCUCCUUUAUUGGAGUUUGAGUUUAUCUUAAUAUAUUAUGGUUCACAAAAAAAAAAAAGAUGAUUCUUUCAAAAUUUGUAUACUCUCCUUCCAUCCUGAAACCUAACCAAAAAUUGGAUAUUGUUCAACUAAUGAUUAUAAAAAUAUCUUUACUAGAAACAUUUAGUCAAUAAAUUUUGUUGACCUAAAGUAGUUUUAGAUGAUUUACU
rnacentral:lncRNA from 1 species